GCCUAAUUUACAGCAAUAUAUAACCAUUUGAAGAAUAAAAAACUGUUAUAAUCUUACUGUUAUAGUCUUUUAUGUAGUUUUUUACAAGCUUUCUGGUGAUGCAAGUUAUAUUUGUCGCGAUUGAAUUCAAAAUUUCACAUUUUUUGUUGUAGUAGAAUUUAAUAGCAAAUAAUGCUAAUAGCAUCGUAAUUCUCUAAAAAAACAGUUUCACGAUGGCCCCACUUUUGCAUGUUGUUCUACUCAUAAAAAGAUGCUACUGUGCACAAUUUGGUGCUUUUAACCCUUUGCGGAAACAUCCAUGCACAUAUCCGCCACACUAUGAAAGAAUCCCUAUAAAAUCCUGUAGAGUCCAAAAAUCCCUAAAUAGACACAUUGCACAUGACGUCACAGCGCCGGUGACGAAGCAUAUGGAGGACAAAUUAGCAAUCUAUGCAUAAUAUAACCUCUGUAAAUAAAGCAAUUUUGUAAAACUUUAUAAUAAUUUUGUAUUAAAAUGGUUAAUUUUUGCACUGUAUGUGGUUGUUGUGCACCAACAGAUAUUGUUAGGGAACAUCUGGAGGACACUCUAAGGAUUUGCGACGUCAGGGCAAUGGGUCUAUAGCUGUAUAAAUCCCCAAACGAUCCGAACCCCCGAAAGUCUCGAAAAGACCACCCAAAAAUCCUGGAAUAAAUUAUACAUGUCCAAUACUAUUGAAUGAACACGAUCAGUAAAACAACCUUGUCGAUUCGGUAUAGAUUCGUGAUAUUGUCGAAUCGACACGACUUGUAAGAUACCUACAACCAGUCCAUUGCUUCAAAAUUUACCCUCAACGAAGAUAAAUGUAAAGUAAAUACAGUUCAGCAAAUCAGACUCAAGUCAGCUCUAUCCGAUUACAAUCUAUCACAAAGAAUUAGAGCUGAUCUUUGAGGCUAAGAUCUUGAGUUUAACGAUGAGAAGUAAUUAAUUUUUAAGUGGAUCAGCGAUGUUGACAGUAUAAUCAAGAAUGCCUCUAAAACAUUGUACUUUUUAUGACAGCUGAAACGUACCUGCACACGCUGAGAGGAGUUGUUUUUAUUGUACUUGUACGCGACCGGUAUAGAUGAACACGCAUCGCCCGUUUUUCAUUAUGGAAUCCCAAAUUACCUGACUAUAAAGACAUUGAAUGUAUACAACGAGCCAGGGGC